GAAAUUAGUUGAUUUCAUUCAGAACAAUUAUAUUUGACAGAUUAUAGCUCACCUAGUACUUUUUUACCUCUUAAAAUACCUUUAAAUGGCCAAUACAACCCAAAAAAUGCAGUAGGCUAUUUCACUUGUCAGAAAGUGAUUGAAGGGACUGGACAAUACAGCUCCAGCAGACGGCAAUCAGUUUUCGGCAACAGUUCAACGUUUAGUCCUGAUGGUGAGAAACAACGUUUAGUCCUGAUGGUGAGAUGUGGAACAAUGAUGUUGUGGACUUGAGAGUAACUUCUGUUCUUCUGUUGUGGAUGUUGAUGACAUCCACAUCCAGAAAAUAAGAGCAGGCACAGACAGUCCCUGCUACCCCUGUUUACUGUUCCAUUCUUUCAUCCAUAGUCUUUGUCUUUGUAACUUUUAUCUUAGAGGUUUAGGGGGAGCAGGGAGAAGCAGGCCAGAUGAACAUAAUGUGUAAAUGUGUAUGAGAGGAAUGUAAUGUCCGUGUUUGAUGCUGGUCUGACCCCCUCUCUUCUUUCAGGGUGGAGCCUGCUGGAGUCCGAUGGUUGAAACCAGGUCUGAGGAAGUAUUCCUGUGAACUCACACUCGACAUAAACACAGCAAAUCAAAAUACCAAGCUGUCUGACAACAACAGGAAGGCGACACAUGUGCAGGAGAAUCAGUCAUAUCCUGAUCAUCCAUACAGGUUUGACUUCUGGUCUCAGGUGAUGUGUACAACUGGUCUGACUGGUCGCUGUUACUGGGAGGUCGAGUGGAGACAAAAAGUUACUGUAGCAAUGAGUUACAGAGGAAUCAGCAAGAGGAGAAGCUCUGAAUACAAUUAUUUUGGAGGGAAUGAUAAGUCCUGGAGACUGGACUGCUAUCCAGAAGGUUACUCUGCCAAUCACAAUAACAGAGAAACAUCCAUCUCCUCCUCCUCUGUCUCUAACAGAGUAGGAGUGUAUCUGGACUGGCCUGCUGGCUCUCUGUCCUUCUACGGAGUCUCCUCUGACACACUGAUCCACCUCCACACCUUCAACACCACAUUCACUGAACCUCUUUAUCCUGGCUUUGGGUUCUGGUUCAACCCUUAUUCUUCAGCGUCUCUGUGUUCUCUGUAGGAGGGAGAAUCUGGUCCUGUUGGAGAACAGAUCAGUUGAGCCGUACAGGAUCACAGUUGCAGAGGUCUUUCAGGUUCUUCUUAUAAAUUCAUCAAUGAAUCAAAAUGAUUCCUCAUUUAUAUUGUUAACAUCGUCCACUUCUGGUCCUUUAAAGAUAAAAGCUCUGAUCAUUAAAUGAUGGAAAUGAUGUUGACUUGUACCUUCUGCCCCUUUAAUAUCCUUCUGAUGUUUUUGAAUGUGGUUGUUUUAUCUUAACAUUUAUAAUUUUUUUGCUUGCUGUAUGUCAUAUCUAUAUAUCUCUAUAUCUAUAUCUCUAUAUCUCUAUAUCUAUAUAUCUCUAUAUCUCUAUAUCUAUAUCUCUAUAUAUUUAUCGAUCGAUCUAUCUAUAUAUCUAUAUAGCUAUAUGUAUAUAGCUGAGCAUGUGUUGUGUAUCAUAAAAGGGCUAAAUGUCCAAUUGUUAACAAAAUAAAGAAUGUCAGAGCUCUUCUUUAUUUGUAAAGAGACCAGUUUUUACAUUUUAGGUGGAUCUCAGAAUGAGGGACUGACUGAACCUGCAACAAGGGAUACAAUUGUCAGAAACUACUUUUGAUGAUGGUGUCAUUGUAAUUAACGUACAGUAAUAAGUUAGUUUUUUAGUUUUUACCUGUUAAGCCUUUCAGUACAGUAAUGUCUACUCUAUUACUGUAAAGUUUAAACAAAUCAAGUGCAAAAUAUAAAUAAAUGUGUGUAUAAGCUGGUACAUGAUAGAAAAUUUUAUUAUGUGUUAUAUUAUUUGACAGAUUCUGAAGUUUGAUUACAUUUUGUUCUGAAAAUCCCUGCAGCAGGUUCAACAUGUGCUGGAAAUCAGGUGUCCACAUACUUUUGGCCAUAUAGUGUAUUACAGCUUGAGACAUUUAGUCACUGUGUUUUGCCCUUAAAGUGUUUGCGGCCUUCACAUUUAUGAAACUGUGCAGAUUGUAGAAUUCUUGUGUUUUCAGCUCAAAUAAAACACUUUGUAAAGUAAA